ensembl:lncRNA
ACUAAACCAGGUCUAAAUCAGGACUAAACCAGGACUAAACCAGGUCUAAACCAGGUCUAAACCAGGUCUAAACCAGGUCUAAACCAGGACUAAACCAGGACUAAACCAGGACUAAACCAGUAUUAAACCAGGACUAAACCAGGACUAAACCAGGUCUAAACCAGGUCUAAACCAGGACUAAACCAGGACUAAACCAGGAUUAAACCAGGUCUAAACCAGGACUAAACCAGGUCUAAACCAGGACUAAACCAGGUCUAAACCAGGACUAAACCAGGUCUAAACCAGGUCUAAACCAGGUCUAAACCAGGUCUAAACCAGGACUAAACCAGGUCUAAACCAGGACUAAACCAGGAUUAAACCAGGUCUAAAUCAGGACUAAACCAGGACUAAACCAGGACUAAACCAGGACUAAACCAGGACUAAACCAGGUCUAAACCAGGUCUAAACCAGGACUAAACCAGGACUAAACCAGGUCUAAACCAGGACUAAACCAGGUCUAAACCAGGACUAAACCAGGACUAAACCAGG